rnacentral:tRNA from 1 species
GCCUCGUUAGCGCAGUAGGAAGCGCGUCAGUCUCAUAAUCAAAUCUAGAAAUCUGAAGGUCGUGAGUUCGAUCAUCACACGAAGCA